rnacentral:rRNA from 1 species
UACGUAGGGUGCGAGCGUUGUCCGGAAUUAUUGGGCGUAAAGAGCUUGUAGGCGGUCUGUCGCGUCUGCUGUGAAAAUCCGGGGCUCAACCCCGGACUUGCAGUGGGUACGGGCAGACUAGAGUGUGGUAGGGGAGACUGGAAUUCCUGGUGUAGCGGUGAAAUGCGCAGAUAUCAGGAGGAACACCGAUGGCGAAGGCGGGUCUCUGGGCCGAUACUGACGCUGAGGAGCGAAAGCGUGGGGAGCAAACAGG